rnacentral:rRNA from 1 species
AGGGUUUGAUUCUGGCUCAGAACGUACGCUGGCGGCACGCCUAACACAUGCAAGUCGAACGAAGUAGCAAUACUUAGUGGCAGACGGGUGAGUAACAUGUGGGUAUCUUCCCUUUGGCCUGGAAUAACACGAGGAAACUUGUGCUAAUACCGGAUAAGUCUUUACGGAGAAAGCUUUAUGCACCAUUGGAUGAGCCUGCACUUGAUUAGUUUGUUGGUAGGGUAAUGGCCUACCAAGACCGUGAUCAAUAGCUGAUUUGAGAGGAUGAUCAGCCACAUUGGGACUGAGACACGGCCCAAACUCCUACGGGAGGCAGCAGUGGGGAAUCUUGCACAAUGGAGGAAACUCUGAUGCAGCGAUGCCGCGUGAGUGAAGAAGGCCUUUGGGUUGUAAAGCUCUUUCGUCGGGGAAGAAAAUGACUGUACCCGAAUAAGAAGGUCCGGCUAACUUCGUGCCAGCAGCCGCGGUAAUUC